AUACAAGCUUAAUCUAGAUUUGGCCAGUUCACACUCAGGAAGCACUGACCUUGAAAGUACUGGGAAGUUUACAGGAGUAGGUUGUGUACCAGCUGGAGUCCUCACCCCAACCUGGAUGAGACAUGCCAUGCACUCCUACCAUCCCCUAAUCCCACUCUGAUGACCCGGCAACCAACUUCACCUCGCUCUUACCCCCCGAGGACCGUCCACAGUGAGCAGGGGAAACCCAAGGCAGAUGACAGCAGUGACAUACUCCAUCACAGACACCUGUAAGUAAGGACACCCUAUGUUGGAAGGGCAAGUGACUUCAUGGCAUCUUCCCCGACCCAGAAUCGAAAAGGAGCCCAGACCCAUCAUGCAGUCCCACCUCCCCUUCCCUUGUUCUAACCCCCAACUGCAUAAGCCAUGGUGGCAGCAGUAAAAGUAUAGAAUAAAAGAGAACUGGGGCCCUGAAAGGACCCCAGGACACAGCUGACCCAAAGGAUGGGAAAUGUAAUACAUCAACCAUGUCAACUGCCAAGAUCAGAGCCUUUUCCUGUUUUCUCCACUAGGUG